UGUAUAAAUAUUUAUGACGGUUUCCCCUGAAGAAGGCUCUAGAGGGGAAAUAAUAGGGAACACGGAAAAAUUGACCUUAAAAGGAAUUAAUGCCGUGGCUGCCCCCGCAACUGUAUGCGGUAGUAUUUUGUCACAAAACAGUCUUUUGACAAAAAUCAAUAUGACUGUUUAAGCCACUGUGAAAAUGGGAAGGCUGAUAAAAGAUUAUGAUCCGCAAGCCAGGAGACCUGCCGUUGCAAAUUAAGGAUA
rnacentral:ncRNA from 2 species